rnacentral:rRNA from 1 species
AGAGUUUGAUUAUGGCUCAGGAUGAACGCUAGCUACAGGCUAACACAUGCAAGUCGAGGGGUAGCAGGGUAGCAAUACCGCUGACGACCGGCGCACGGGUGAGUAACACGUAUCCAACCUUCCCAUAACUCAGGGAUAGCCUUUCGAAAGAAAGAUUAAUACCUGAUAGUACUUUUUCAAGGCAUCUUGAGAAAGUUAAAGAUUUAUUGGUUAUGGAUGGGGAUGCGUUCCAUUAGAUAGUUGGUGAGGUAACGGCUCACCAAGUCUUCGAUGGAUAGGGGUUCUGAGAGGAAGGUCCCCCACAUUGGUACUGAGACACGGACCAAACUCCUACGGGAGGCAGCAGUGAGGAAUAUUGGUCAAUGGGCGAGAGCCUGAACCAGCCAAGUAGCGUGAAGGAUGAAGGUCCUAUGGAUUGUAAACUUCUUUUAUAGUAGAAUAAAGUGAUCCACGUGUGGAUUUUUGUAUGUAUACUAUGAAUAAGGAUCGGCUAACUCCGUGCCAGCAGCCGC